rnacentral:rRNA from 1 species
UACGGGGGGAGCAAGCGUUGUUCGGAUUUACUGGGCGUAAAGGGCGCGUAGGCGGCCAGCACAAGUCAGUUGUGAAACCUCCGAGCUUAACUCGGAAAGGUCAACUGAUACUGUGCGGCUAGAGUGCGGAAGGGGCAACUGGAAUUCUUGGUGUAGCGGUGAAAUGCGUAGAUAUCAAGAGGAACACCUGCGGCGAAGGCGGGUUGCUGGGCCGACACUGACGCUGAGGCGCGAAAGCCAGGGGAGCGAACGGG